CUGACCGUAAACGAUGCCAACUAGCGAUCCGCCGGCGGAUAUUUCGCCCUGGUGGGGAGCUUCCCGGAAACGAAAGUCUUCCGGUUCCGGGGGAAGUAUGGUUGCAAAGCUGAAACUUAAAGGAAUUGACGGAAGGGCACCACCAGGAGUGGAGCCUGCGGCUUAAUUUGACUCAACACGGGGAAACUCACCCGGCCCGGACACCGUGAGGAUUGACAGAUUGAAAGCUCUUUCUUGAUUCGGUGGUUGGUGGUGCAUGGCCGUUCUUAGUUCGUGGAGCGAUUUGUCUGGUUUAUUCCGAUAACGAGCGAGACUCUAGCUUACUAAAUAGUCUUGUCUUUAUUACUGAGGCCUGACUUCUUAGAGGGAUUUUCGGUGUUCAGCCGCACGAGAUUGAGCAAUAACAGGUCUGUGAUGCCCUUAGAUGUCCGGGGCUGCACGCGCGCUACACUGGCGAAAUCAGCGUGCUUUUCCUAUCUCGAAAGAGAUUGGUAAACCGAUGAAAAUUUGCCGUGAUUGGGAUCGGAAAUUGCAAUUAUUUUCCGUGAACGAGGAAUUCCAAGUAAGUGCGAGUCAUCAACUCGCGUUG
rnacentral:rRNA from 1 species